AAUUGAUAACUUAAGAAACCCAGAUUGAGAUCUCCAAAUAUGUUUUUAUAUUUAUUAGUUGUUUGUGUCUGACUCUUUGCAGGGAAGAGUUCCUGUUGUGGCCCGCCAAGCUGGCAGCAGAUUCAGACAGUGAGAAGGUUGGGGAGGAACAUGGGCUAGUCCUGGAAUCUGGGGAAGGCUCUGCAUCGGAAGCAAAGAUGGGGCCAGGGCCAUAUGACAGUUAUCAGCUGCUUUUGGAGUCAGACAUCUGUGAGGCAGAAGAAUAGCUAGAGCCUGUUCCCAGUAUAUGCAUGCACAGAGUUGCCAGAUGAAGGGAACAGCUAAGGAGCAAUGAUCAACUUGGAAAACAAGAUGAUUGAAGACUUCUGAAACCAAGGUUUCCAGGCAGUUUCUGGCCAAAAAAAAGGCCCAUUCUCAAAAAUGGAUUUACCGAACGACCAUGUCAUUCGCUUAAGAACUGUGAUAACUGGCACAAAUGUCAACCUUCCAUGGUAACUUCUGUUAAGAUGCACACAGUUGCUUUGGUGAGAAAAGUGUGUAAGAUGAAGAUGAAGAUGGCCUCAAAGAUCAACUAUCCAAUUAUUCUGCAGAUAGCUAGAUAAUGUACAGGAAGUAUUUGUAAUGUCUAUUUAACAGAGAAGGACAAUCUACUGGAAACAUUUUAUAUGCAUAUCCCUCAUACAGAAAAGCAUGCAUUAUAUUGAUGACAGAGUCUCCUAAAACAAUGCGAUCAAAAUGUGGUAUUACAAUUAUAUUUCUCGAUAGCAAUAUUUCUUCUCUAAUAAAGAAAAAAAAAUCAAGCUUCUGGAAGAAUUAUCAAAAUCGAGGGUAAACUCAAUGCCCCCCCAAAACUCUGAAAAGAGACUUAAAACCUUCAGCUUUGAGCCUCCAAUGAUGCCACUGGGUCACCAAGCCCACUGCAGCCCUCCAAGGAGUCCCCCAAAAAAGGAAAGAAUGGAGGGGGAGGAGGAAUUUCCAGGUCCAACCAUAGAGAAACACUAUGUGAUCCUGUCAUGCGUUUGUUUCAACUAUGUUUUAUUAACUGUUCAAGAUCAUUAAAAACUGAACACGCACACUUCGUAAAAUCUAUUUAUUAACAUUCCAUACAACAAAGUGACAAUAAGCCCUAAUUUUAAUAUUUUUUAAAAAGCCAAAGUGAAGUUUGCAA